AAUAUUCGUUAAGAAUUUUGUGCUGCAGUUGAGAACAAAUAAUGCCAAAAUCAAAAAAAAAAGCCAAACAGCAGCGGCGUAAUCAGCCGCAGAUGCGGGUUCUCCUGAAGACAACAGGAACGGGGAUAGAACAGUGGAGACCAACAACAAUGGAGCUGGAGCAGAACGAAAUUGACAAAAUGACGGCUACAUGGACAGAAAUAAUGAACCGGAAGAAUGGUGAAUUAAAUGAAAGUGACCCAGCUUGAGCUGGAAAACAUGUAGCUGAAAACAAAUAAUUAGGCCAAAGAAGUCAAGCUGGUUGAGCUGAACAACUAUUAAGCAAAAGUCAAGGAAUGUAUCAUGAUGGAACAAAAACUUGCCCAGACUGAGGCAAUAGUGCAACAUUAUGAGGGGAUUAUAAAGGCAUCGAUAGAAAAUCAUAGACAGUCACAAAUAUCGAUGGAGUGUGCCAUUCAAAAAACCCCCCGACGACUUUAAUCGCGAAGCUGCUAAUAAGGUGUUAAGAGAGAGAGUUUGAUGCUGCGUCCGACGACGGUUCAACGAUUUCAAAUACAGCUGCAACUGCAGUUGCUACAAGAUUAAGAAAUCGUCGAAUUUAAUUUAAACAAGUAAAAAAAUUCUUGAGCAAUAUUUGCAUUUGUUUUGUUUUUUUAUUUG